rnacentral:tRNA from 1 species
GGAUGGGUGGCCGAGCGGUUUAAGGCACCGGUCUUGAAAACCGGCAGGCGUGAGACGCGUCUCGUGGGUUCGAAUCCCACCCCAUCCGCCA